AACGAACGCUGGCGGCGUGCUUAACACAUGCAAGUCGAACGAGAAGUACGUAGCAAUACGUAUUGUAAAGUGGCGCACGGGUGAGUAACACGUGGGUAAUCUGCCCUCGAGUUUGGGAUAACCCCGCGAAAGCGGGGCUAAUACCGAAUAAGACCACGGGGACCAAAGUCCCUGAGGUAAAAGGUGGCCUCUAUUUAUAAGCUACCACUUGAGGAUGAGCCCGCGGCCCAUUAGCUAGUUGGCAGGGUAACGGCCUACCAAGGCUAUGAUGGGUAGCUGGUCUGAGAGGACGAUCAGCCACACUGGAACUGAGACACGGUCCAGACUCCUACGGGAGGCAGCAGUGGGGAAUAUUGCGCAAUGGGCGAAAGCCUGACGCAGCAACGCCGCGUGGGGGAUGAAGGUUCUCGGAUUGUAAACCCCUUUCGAUCGGAACGAAUCCCCUCCUGGUGAACAAUCAGGAGGAUCGACGGUACCGAGAGAAGAAGCCACGGCUAACUCUGUGCCAGCAGCCGCCGUAA
rnacentral:rRNA from 1 species